AGAAUUUAAAUUGGUUAGAGCAUCUGACUCAUAAUCAGAGGGUCCUUGGUUCGAGCCCAAGUGGGACCA
rnacentral:tRNA from 1 species